rnacentral:rRNA from 1 species
UACGUAGGGGGCGAGCGUUGUCCGGAAUGACUGGGCGUAAAGGGCGCGUAGGCGGUUGUUUAAGUUAGGAGUGAAAGUCCAGCUUUUAAGGUUGGAAUAGCUUUUAAUACUGGAUGACUUGAGUGCGGAAGAGGUAAGUGGAAUUCCCAGUGUAGCGGUGAAAUGCGUAGAGAUUGGGAGGAACACCAGUGGCGAAGGCGACUUACUGGGCCGUAACUGACGCUGAGGCGCGAAAGCGUGGGGAGCGAAC